UACGAAGGGGGCUAGCGUUGUUCGGAUUUACUGGGCGUAAAGCGCCCGUAGGCGGAUCGUUAAGUCGGGGGUGAAAUCCUGGAGCUCAACUCCAGAACUGCCUUCGAUACUGGCGAUCUCGAAUCCGGAAGAGGUGAGUGGAACUCCUAGUGUAGAGGUGGAAUUCGUAGAUAUUAGGAAGAACACCAGUGGCGAAGGCGACUCACUGGUCCGAUACUGACGCUGAGGUGCGAAAGCGUGGGGAGCAAACAGG
rnacentral:rRNA from 1 species